rnacentral:rRNA from 1 species
GACGGAGGAUGCAAGUGUUAUCCGGAAUCACUGGGCGUAAAGCGUCUGUAGGUGGUCAAAUAAGUCAACUGUUAAAUCUUGAGGCUCAACCUCAAAAUCGCAGUCGAAACUAUUAGACUAGAGUAUAGUAGGGGUAAAGGGAAUUUCCAGUGGAGCGGUGAAAUGCGUAGAGAUUGGAAAGAACACCGAUGGCGAAGGCACUUUACUGGGCUAUUACUAACACUCAGAGACGAAAAGCUAGGGUAGCAAAUGGGG